rnacentral:rRNA from 1 species
ACKGCUCAGUAACACGUGGAUAACCUACCCUUGGGUCGGGCAUAAACCCGGGAAACUGGGUAUAAUGCCCGAUAGAUCUGGAAGGCUGGAAUGCGUCCAGGUUCAAAGCUCCGGCGCCCAAGGAUGGGUCUGCGGCCUAUCAGGUAGUAGUGGGUGUAAUGUACCUACUAGCCGACGACGGGUACGGGUUGUGAGAGCAAGAGCCCGGAGAUGGAUUCUGAGACAUGAAUCCAGGCCCUACGGGGCGCAGCAGGCGCGAAAACUUUACAAUGCGGGAAACCGUGAUAAGGGGACACCGAGUGCCAGCAUCAUAUGCUGGCUGUCCGGGUGUGUAAAAUACACCUGUUAGCAAGGGCCGGGCAAGACCGGUGCCAGCCGCCGCGGUAACACCGGCGGCCCGAGUGGUGAUCGUGAUUAUUGGGUCUAAAGGGUCCGUAGCCGGUUUGGUCAGUCCUCCGGGAAAUCUGACGGCUUAACCGUUAGGCUUUCGGAGGAUACUGCCAGGCUUGGAACCGGGAGAGGUAAGAGGUACUACAGGGGUAGGAGUGAAAUCUUGUAAUCCCUGUGGGACCACCUGUGGCGAAGGCGUCUUACCAGAACGGGUUCGACGGUGAGGGACGAAAGCUGGGGGCACGAACCGGAUUAGAUACCCGGGUAGUCCCAGCCGUAAACGAUGCUCGCUAGGUGUCAGGCAUGGCGCGACCGUGUCUGGUGCCGCAGGGAAGCCGUGAAGCGAGCCACCUGGGAAGUACGGCCGCAAGGCUGAAACUUAAAGGAAUUGGCGGGGGAGCAC